CCAGACAUACACUGGAGCAUCUUUCAACCUAGUGCCAAAAUCUGACAUGGAACGGCAGAGUGAAUGCAGCCAACUACAGCAGAGUACAAGAGGAGUCACACGGGUCACAGCUACUCGGCACUUAAGCUGCUUUUGCGAACUGCAGGAAUAUCUGCCACAGAGAAAACAAAAAACCCAUGACAGGAGGCAAUUGGUCUGCCUUCUUCUUUAUUGUCACCCAUCAUCUAAUCCUGUGCCUGGUAUGUUUGCAUCUAUCAGAGGAGUGGAUGCAUGUGCGAAACUACUGAGGAAUACAGAUAUGUGAAAACCCUUUCAAUGUUAGGAAUCAGCAAACAUGGAUCACAGGAACUGAGGAAUGGGAGCUGUUGAGAGAGGUAAAUGUUCAAUUUCAGAGGACCACAACUACGAUGUUGAAGAGUUAUAAACAAUAAUUAGCAGGAAGUACAAUGACUAACACAGUGUGUUGAUGAUAAGAGUCUUACGAUGGAAAUAGUUAAUGAUUAAUUUGGUUACAGUAAGU
rnacentral:lncRNA from 12 species